CCUAAAUCUCAGAGAAGACUUGGAACUUGGACUUUUCAGCAAUGCUGAGACUGUUAGGACUUCAGCAACUCUUGGAGUAUGAAGAUCUCUGAUGAGGAAGAACAGCUGUGAAGAUGCUGUGUUGGUCAGAAAAAAUGAGUAACAUGAGGACAGCAAGCAGAAAGCACAUCUUUCAGGACUGGAGGCUAAUGGCAAAAUGGUGAAAGAGACAAAUUCCUAGGAGCUUCUGUGACCUGCCAAAAGGUCACACUUCUGGUUAAUAGAAAAUCGAUUACUUUUCUUGAUGAAAGUUGGAGGAAGGCAAUGGUAAAGCAUAAGAAUAAACUGGCAAAGAAACUCUGGAGAACUCAGAGUUUAUAUUUCCCACGCUUUGGAAAAUUCAGUGGCCUUCAAGAAUGGAGCUAAAAGAGUGGCGAUGAUGAGUCUGAAACUGUUCAGGAGCACUAGAAAGAGAAAGCAAGGGUACUCCUUCCAAAGAGGAGUUCUGAAGAUGAUGACUAGUGCACAGGACCUAAAACAUCUUCAAUCACCUUCCCCUGCCAAGGACUGUAUGAGUUGAAACUAAGAAAGAAAGGAGAGCGAGCUCUACAAAGAGCUCAGACAGAAAAGCCAAGACUUCUUCUAGCUCCAGAGCCUUGUGCUCAACAACCACUAUGACACUCAAGUGAAGAAAGCUCCCAUUAGAGAAAAGUUUGUGAGAUGCCAGGAAGGAGCUACAGAUGUCAUGGGAUAAAGGGUGUCCUGGAACAAAUACCCCACAGAGACCGAAGAACAACUGUACACCUAUACACCAAUCGGCUGCUAACUAAGGCUUUGCCAAGGUAUUUUCUGAGAAAGGAACUGUGAAACACUUUUGGUGAGUUUUAAGCAAGCCAGCUUUCCUCUCUCCCCCUCACCUCCAUAUCCAACAAUGGGCAAUUUCUCUCUUAGACUCGCACUACUAGUCCUACAUCAAAACUGUUCUUUACCUCCUUUUCCAGUUCCUCUAGUGGAAAAAAACUCUCUAAUCAUAUUUCCUUACUCCCACUCCAGCAAAGCACUGUUCCCAUAUCCAGGCCACCAAGAGUGUCCAAGAGAACUGUCCCCCAUCUCUUCCACUACCUGCUCUACUACUGUCCACUACUGAUCACCACUCCUUCUGUGACUCUCUUUCACAAACACAUGCACUCACAUUCCAUAGUGAAAUAGGAAAUUGAAGUAACAACUAAAUCUCCAUCAGAGAUCAAUACCAUCGAUUAAAACAUUUCACUGGACAUGAGGCACCAGGAAGACAUGAGGAUCCUCUUUCUCUUCUCCUAAAAGUAUACACACUCCCCCUCUGUCAGUCUCUGGGAUUCCAUUUUACUGGCAGCUGUAGAUUACCCACAAGCAUCAACCCCUAUGCAACGAGAGCCCACAGCUGGAAAGAAGCUAAAACAGAAAACAUGCCAACCACUGAUUGAAGAGAGAGGCUGCUUCCCACCUCUGAGUCCUGAUCUUCUAUGGAGAACCUCCCAACCCACUCUCAGCACCGUUUCAUGUGCUUGGAAGUAAGGUUGACAAUGAAGACAGAAGUUAAAACCAGGAUGAAAGACAUGAGAGGAAGCAGAGGAAACCCUGGCCAGACAACAUGUAGGGAAGGUAGACAGAGUCACCUUUUCUAUGAAGUCACUCUUCAUCUGGGAAAGGUUCUCAGACCAUGGACAAAGGAGAGAAGCAACUGCCAAUGGCAACCAAAGUCCACUGCUUCAAAUCCAACUUCAGUUUGAUUGGCUUAGAGGGAUGGAAGUAGAGGAGGAGCCAGGACCCAGUUACUUGUGUCUGAUGCAUUCACUUAACAAUCAUCAUGCAUUAUACUCAUAUAACUUUUCAACCUUUCUAAGGGCUGUACAGCAUCAUCUCAUCACUACUUGUUCUCACUGCAAUGCUUGAGGUAAAUGACAAUGUCCUCAGGCAGAUAAGAACUCCCUGCAGUGGUGCUGCCUCUUCCACCAGCCUCAGCACCUUGGAGAUCAAAAGACUUUCAUCAGAGAACAGAAAUGUGAUCUUCCUGAUAUAAAGCCGCAAAUUCACUCAGCCUUCAAGGAUGGGCCAUAGAAAUUCUACAAUUACACAUCUCUUACCUGAGGACAGGGGUGCCUUACAGACCAGCAAUGCCCAAGAAAACAUUCUGUGACAACAGAAGUGCACGUUUUCUCUGUCCAGUUGGGAACUGUAUCACAGCAGGUGUCCCAGGGCAAGAGCCACAUAGGGAAGAAGAAAUGUGAGCUAUCACCAUCACCAACUGCUACCAGUCUCCCCCUUAAUGAUUUCACAAGGGGCCACAGUGUCAAGAGCACAGGGCAGGACCCAACCUAAGGAAGCCGAGGGCCCAGGCUCAUUAGGCCCUGCUGGGAUACAGAGGUCAUACUCUUGUCCCAUACCUCACCCUCAUCUUCACCUGUCCAGCCACCUAUUUGGGAAGCCCCAAAUUUGGAUGUUCAAAACAAAAAAAUCUGUUUUUCUCAUGUUAUUAGCCAAGGGCUAAUAACAGUUACAAAUGGAGUUGUAAGUUUCCAUUUCUCCUAAAGUCUGACUCUUCAGUUCAUGAAAGUUUUUAAAACUCCAAAAAAAAAAAGAAAGAAACUAUCAGUGAUGCAAAGGAAUAUAGGGUUGAUGGAUUUCAGAGAAAAAGGUACCCCAAAGAGCACCCUCCAUUUUACAGAUAUAAGAGAAGUGCAGAGAGGUAUUGUGAAAAGGACAAGGUCAGUACCAAAGCAGAGUGGGAACCCAAACUCCUUCCAUAACACUAAGCUGCUUCUCGAUCAUGACUCAAGUAAAAAUCACCAUCCUAAUUUCUGAACUUGGCAUUUUUCACAAUAUGAAAUAUAUAGUAAAAGGUCACUUAAUUAUAGAACUUUUGCAAAAGAGAACCAAGAGAUGGAGGGAGGAGAAGAGACGGGGAUAAAAAAGAAUUAAGAUGUGUUAUGUACAUGUAGCAACUCCCCAUGAUAAAUGUAAUCAUUAUGUACUGCAAAUAUGGACUAAUAAAAAAUAUG